rnacentral:tRNA from 1 species
GGGGGUAUAGCUCAGGGAUAGAGCAUUUGACUGCAAAAUAAGUUUGGGGAGUGAAUGAAUCACUUUCUUCCA